rnacentral:rRNA from 2 species
GAAACUAACAAGGAUUCCCCUAGUAGCGGCGAGCGAAGCGGGAAGAGCUCAAAUUUAUAAUCUGGCACCUUCGGUGUCCGAGUUGUAAUCUCUAGAAAUGUUUUCCGCGUUGGACCGCACACAAGUCUGUUGGAAUACAGCGGCAUAGUGGUGAGACCCCCGUAUAUGGUGCGGACGCCCAGCGCUUUGUGAUACAUUUUCGAAGAGUCGAGUUGUUUGGGAAUGCAGCUCAAAUUGGGUGGUAAAUUCCAUCUAAAGCUAAAUAUUGGCGAGAGACCGAUAGCGAACAAGUACCGUGAGGGAAAGAUGAAAAGCACUUUGGAAAGAGAGUUAACAGUACGUGAAAUUGUUGGAAGGGAAACGCUUGAAGUCAGACUUGCUUGCCGAGCAAUCGGUUUGCAGGCCAGCAUCAGUUUUCCGGGAUGGAUAAUGGUAGAGAGAAGGUAGCAGUUUCGGCUGUGUUAUAGCUCUCUGCUGGAUACAUCUUGGGGGACUGAGGAACGCAGUGUGCCUUUGGCGGGGGUUU